CCAGCUCCAAUAGCGUAUAUUAAAGUUGUUGCAGUUAAAAAGCUCGUAGUUGAAUUUUGGGCCGGGCUGGAUGGUCUCGCCGCAAGGUGAGCACUGUUCGGUCUGGCCUCUCCUUCUGGAGAGCUAUCGUGCUCUUAAUUGAGUGCGAUAGGGAUCCAGGACUUUUACUUUGAAAAAAUUAGAGUGUUCAAAGCAGGCUUACGCCUGAAUACAUUAGCAUGGAAUAAUAGAAUAGGACUUUGGUUCUAUUUUGUUGGUUUCUAGGACCAAAGUAAUGAUUAAUAGGGAUAGUUGGGGGCAUUAGUAUUUAAUUGUCAGAGGUGAAAUUCUUGGAUUUAUUGAAGACUAACUUCUGCGAAAGCAUUUGCCAAGGAUGUUUUCA
rnacentral:rRNA from 1 species